UGAACUUUAUGAUAGUAACUUAAUAACAUUAGUCUUAUUCAUAUAAAUAUUUAGCUAUAUAGUAAAUGCCGAAUAAUACUAUAAUAUAAACAGCAAAACACUCGACCAACACAGCUCUGUGUAGAGCACUGGGUGUGGUCGAGUGACAGGUCGAGUAACAGACAGAUAAUCUAACAGGGAUACUCGACUGCACAGUCUGUUGCCAGACAACUGGGUGGUCGAGUAUUAGGUCGAGUAAAAGUAAAGAAUUGCAGAAACUAAGCAACAAAUUACAGGAUGCAGUACACAACAGUAGAGUAAACAAUAAAAUCAAUCAGAUAAAGAAUUCCUAAGGAUGGGGUAAUUGAGUAGUUUCGUUUCCUCGGUUUACAGGUGAUUGACAUGCUCAAUAAAUUAACCCUAGACAACAAGUUCAUUAACCAAAUCUAAGUGCCACCGCAACAGAGACUCGCAAGCUAACCUAGUCCCAGACUCAAUCACCAUUGACGAGAGCUAACCUAACAAGCAUUACGAAUCAACAAGUUAAAUCCAAAACGCUCCCUGCAACCAAUACCUUGGUACAGGGUCACGAAUCUCUGGAAUUAGUGGUUCAGACAUUUCAUCGAACACCUUUUGGGCGCGGAAAUGUCUGGGCUCAAAUUCCAGUUGAUCAGAAAGCAAUAGGCAUUAAGAACAACUAAUCCAGAAGGGAUCCAUCAACCAAUACUCAAUCACCUAGCAUACUGAGAAUUCUACACUACUCUAGCCCAUCCUCAGAAACCUAUUCACUACUGAGACAUCAUAACAGAAAGCAUAAACGUUGAACGAAUUGAAAACAUGAUAACAACAAUGUAACAGCAGGAUGAUAACAGAGUGAACAACAGUAAACGAAAUUCAAGAACAGAAACUAAAUACUGAAUACUGAAUAGAUAAAGAGAAAUCCGGAUUACAAAAAGUCUAGAACACAAGGUCUGCGGAAAUAAAACUAGAUAAAAACUUUUUGUCUGCGAAAAUGAGAAGUACAUGCUACUUAUAGCCAAAUAUCCCGAAACCCUAAUACUCAAAACGACGAAGUAUUGGGAUGGGUUAAGAACUGUACUCGACCCACGUGGUCGAGUGAGAGGUCAAGUGAAUAGCUGGAGUCUUCUUUUCUUCCUUGUGCUCGAGUGUCUGGUUGAGUGCGGAAUGAAGAAGGCUCUGAAGCUUGUCAUCGAGUAUGCAGUCGAGUGGUGGUGAUGGUGAUACUCGACAUCCAGGUAGAGUGAUGAGGUCGAGUAGAGGUCUGGCAAUGGGAUGAAGUCACUCGGCGUUGGGGUCGAGUGAUGUGAUCGAGUGGUGUUAGAAGAUACUCGACUUCCAGGUUGAGUGACGAGGUCGAGUGGUGGUCUGAUGAUGGAGAUGAUGUGAUCGAGUGAUGGAACACGUCCCUAUCAACAUUGUUAACUGGAAGAAAGUGACUCGAGAUCUGAAAACAGUUAUGUGGAAAUCUGUUCAGGUAACAAGUAGUUUUUUAAAAAAGUUGACUGUAAUUGAUCUGGUACUUCUAUAAUUAUGGUGUGAUUGUUCGUGAAUGCAUUCAAGGUUUGAGCUUGAUGAAGAUUGGCAAAGUAUAUCUGUGAUAAACCAGAUGGGAAAUAUGUGGAGAGCACACAAGU
rnacentral:sRNA from 1 species